rnacentral:rRNA from 1 species
AUUGAACGCUGGCGGCAGGCCUAACACAUGCAAGUCGAGCGGAUGAAGGGAGCUUGCUCCUGGAUUCAGCGGCGGACGGGUGAGUAAUGCCUAGGAAUCUGCCUGGUAGUGGGGGAUAACGUCCGGAAACGGGCGCUAAUACCGCAUACGUCCUGAGGGAGAAAGUGGGGGAUCUUCGGACCUCACGCUAUCAGAUGAGCCUAGGUCGGAUUAGCUAGUUGGUGGGGUAAAGGCCUACCAAGGCGACGAUCCGUAACUGGUCUGAGAGGAUGAUCAGUCACACUGAAACUGAGACACGGUCCAGACUCCUACGGGAGGCAGCAGUGGGGAAUAUUGGACAAUGGGCGAAAGCCUGAUCCAGCCAUGCCGCGUGUGUGAAGAAGGUCUUCGGAUUGUAAAGUACUUUAAGUUGGGAGGAAGGGCAGUAAGUUAAUACCUUGCUGUUUUGACGUUACCAACAGAAUAAGCACCGGCUAACUUCGU